AAAAGUUUUAUUCUGGCUUGGGGAUUUGCUUUGGGGAAAAUUUAUAUACGAAGUUUUUCUUUAAGGUUUUUUUUGUAGUAUUUAGUAUUAGGAAUUAAGGUUUCUUAGACCUAGUUAUUUUCUCUAGUAUAAACAAAAUUUGUGCCAGCAGUAGCGGUUAUACAAAUUGUGCAAGUUAAUUUUUUCAAGUUGAGUUAGGAGUGAAUUUUUGGGCUUACGGAUUAAAUUUUUAGGUGAAAUUUAAUUUUUUUCUUUUGGCCUUUUUCUUUUUCCGAAGUUUAGAAAUUUUUAGUUAAACUAGGAUUAGAUACCCUAUUAUUUUAAAUGUAAUUUUAUUUUCUUUGAUUAUUAUUAGUUAUUUUCUUUAAAAUUAAAGAAUUUGGCGGUAUUUUAGUCUGUUCAGAGGAACCUGUUUUUUAAUUGAUGGUCCACGAUAAUUUUUACUUUAGUUUUAAAUUUAUAUAUCGUUGUUUGUAAAAAUUUUAGUAGAAGUUUAAUUUUUUUGACUUUUAAUUAGGAAAUAUUUCAAAUCAAGGUGUAGUUUAUAUUAAAGAUGAAAUGGGUUACAUUAAAUUUAUUUUUGGUCUUAUAAUUUAUAAUUUUAGGUAAAUUGGAUUUGAUAGUAAAUUUUUUAUUUAUGAUUUUUGAUUUAGCUCUAAAAUAUGCACAUAUCGCCCGUCGCUUUCAUUUUAAGGUGAAAUAAGUCGUAACAAAGUAGGCUUAUUGGAAAAUGAGCCUAGAAUGAUC
rnacentral:ncRNA from 1 species